rnacentral:rRNA from 1 species
UACGGAGGGAGCUAGCGUUGUUCGGAAUUACUGGGCGUAAAGCGCACGUAGGCGGCUUUGUAAGUCAGAGGUGAAAGCCUGGAGCUCAACUCCAGAACUGCCUUUGAGACUGCAUCGCUUGAAUCCAGGAGAGGUGAGUGGAAUUCCGAGUGUAGAGGUGAAAUUCGUAGAUAUUCGGAAGAACACCAGUGGCGAAGGCGGCUCACUGGACUGGUAUUGACGCUGAGGUGCGAAGGCGUGGGGAGCAAACAGG